rfam:Loxodonta africana unplaced genomic scaffold scaffold_115, whole genome shotgun sequence.
GCAGUGGUGGCUCGGUGGUGGAAUUCUUACCUUCCAUGUGGGAGACCCAGGUUUGAUUCCUGGCCAAUGCA